rnacentral:rRNA from 1 species
AGCACUUUCAGUGGGGAAGAAAAGCCUGGGGUUAAUACCCCCGGGUCUUGACGUUACCCACAGAAGAAGCACCGGCUAACUCCGUGCCAGCAGCCGCGGUAAUACGGAGGGUGCAAGCGUUAAUCGGAAUCACUGGGCGUAAAGCGCACGUAGGNGGCCGAAGUCAAGUAAGAAUGUGAAAGCCCCGGGCUUCAACCAUGGAACCGGCAAUUUGAAUACUGCUUGGCUCGAGUCUGUUAGAGGGCGGUGGAAUUCCAAAGGAACCGGUGAAAAUGCGUAGAUAUCGGGAGGAACAUCAGUGGCGAAGGCGCCCCCUUGGACCAGAGACUGACGUUGAGGCGCGAAGACGCGUGGGGCACACACAGGAUGAGAUACCGUGGUAGUACACGCUGUAAACGAUGUAGAAUACCCGGGUGGGGCUCAUAAGAAGAGUAUAGUGGCAGCAGCAAACGCGAUAAGUCGACCGCCUGGGGACUGACGGCCGCAAGGUUAAAACUCAGAAGGAAUUGACGGGGGCCAAGAACAAGCGGUGGAGCAUGUGGAAUAAUUCGAUGCAACGCGAACGAACCUCUACCAGCCAUUGACAUCCUCAGGAACUUGGAAGAGAUGCCUUGCUGCCGUCGGGAGCCGAGAGACAGGUGCAUGCAUGGCUGUCAGUCAGCUCUUGUAGUGAGAUGUUGGGAUUAAGUCCCGGAACGAGAGCAACCCCGUCACUUACUAGCCAGCGGUUCGGGCCGGGAUCUCUAAGGAGCCUGCCGGUGAUAACACGGAGGAAGGUGGGGACGACGUCAAGUCAUCACCGGCCAUUAUGGGCUGGACAACACACGUGCUACAAUGGUCGGUACAGAGGGCUGCAAAGCAGCGAUGUGGAGCCAAUCCCAGAAAACCGAUCGUAGUCCGGAUUGCAGUCUGCAACUCGACUGCAUGAAGUCGGAAUCGC